GGCGAGCAAAUCAAUCCAUUCGUGUUCAGGUGCGAUACCCGAGAGCGUUUUGAAAAUGACCGUGCACCUCACAAAUACCACAGAUUGCCAGCUGUGUGAAAACUACAAGGCGAUGGAGUUUCGUCGCGAUGACAGCCAUUCCACCUGGUGGGAAAUUGCAAGCAGCAGCGAGGCCCCGACGGCGAGUCACAGGGACUCUCCGUCACUGGAAGUAAGUGAGUCCAAAAAAAAAAUGAGACACAGCCACACCCAAACUUCACCAAUGACCCAGCGGCUCCAGGCAAAAUAGUCGGAUGAAUGGCAAGUUCGUUUUUUUAAACGCUUGAAUAUACACACACGCCACACGUAUGGAGCCGUUGAACAAAGCCCAUUUUGUCACUUGUAAGUUCUUCACUUCUUGUCUUUUGUGUCAUUUGGUUUACGUGCCCAUAGAGUCUUACACGUGUUGUCCAAUAGCAUCCUGAAUCUUCGUGUUCCGACGCAAUUU